UACGUAGGCAGCAAGCGUUGUUCGGAAUUGCUGGGCGUAAAGAGUGUGUAGGCGGUGCUCUAAGUUCGGUGUGAAAUCUCCCGGCUUAACUGGGAGGGUGCGCCGGAAACUGGAGUGCUCGAGGGUGGGAGAGGAAAGCGGAAUUCCUGGUGUAGCGGUGAAAUGCGUAGAUAUCAGGAGGAACGCCUGCGGUGUAGACAGCUUUCUGGACCACUUCUGACGCUGAGACACGAAAGCGUGGGUAGCAAACA
rnacentral:rRNA from 1 species